rnacentral:rRNA from 1 species
UACGUAGGAGGCGAGCGUUGUCCGGAAUUACUGGGCGUAAAGAGCGCGUAGGCGGCGCGGUACGACCGCUGUGAAAGCCCCCAGCUCAACUGGGGAGGGUCGGCGGUAACGGCCGUGCUUUGAGUGCAGGAGAGGGAAGUGAAACUCCGGGAGUAGCGGUGAAAUGCGUAGAGACCCGGAGGAACACCAGUGGCGAAGGCGGCUUCCUGGUCUGCGACUGACGCUGUGGCGCGAAAGCUAGGGGAGCAAACGGG